rnacentral:rRNA from 1 species
AGAGUUUGAUCCUGGCUCAGGACGAACGCUGGCGGCGUGCCUAACACAUGCAAGUCGAGCGGAGACAGUGAGUAGCUUCCUAUGAGCUGUUUUAGCGGCGGACGGGUGAGUAACGCGUGAGCAACCUUUCCCAGACAGGGGAAUAACACACCGAAAGGUGUACUAAUACCGCAUAAGACCACGGGAUCACAUGGUUCUGGGGUAAAAGAUUUAUCGGUUUGGGGUGGGCUCGCGUCCGAUUAGGUAGUUGGUGAGGUAACGGCCCACCAAGCCGACGAUCGGUAGCCGACCUGAGAGGGUGAUCGGCCACAUUGGGACUGAGACACGGCCCAAACUCCUACGGGAGGCAGCAGUGGGAAUAUUGGGCAAUGGAGGAAACUCUGACCCAGCAACGCCGCGUGGAGGAAGAAGGUUUUCGGAUCGUAAACUCCUGUCCUUGGAGACGAGUAGAAGACGGUAUCCAAGGAGGAAGCCCCGGCUAACUACGUGCCAGCAGCCGCGGUAAUACGUAGGGGGCAAGCGUUGUCCGGAAUAAUUGGGCGUAAAGGGCGCGUAGGCGGCUCGGUAAGUCUGGAGUGAAAGUCCUGCUUUUAAGGUGGGAAUUGCUUUGGAUACUGUCGGGCUUGAGUGCAGGAGAGGUUAGUGGAAUUCCCAGUGUAGCGGUGAAAUGCGUAGAGAUUGGGAGGAACACCAGUGGCGAAGGCGACUAACUGGACUGUAACUGACGCUGAGGCGCGAAAGUGUGGGGAGCAAACAGGAUUAGAUACCCUGGUAGUCCACACUGUAAACGAUGAAUGCUAGGUGUAGGGGGUAUCGACCCCUUCUGUGCCGCAGUCAACACAAUAAGCAUUCCGCCUGGGGAGUACGGCCGCAAGGUUGAAACUCAAAGGAAUUGACGGGGGCCCGCACAAGCAGCGGAGCAUGUGGUUUAAUUCGACGCAACGCGAAGAACCUUACCAGGUCUUGACAUCCACUUAAACUUACAGAGAUGUAAGGUGUGCUUGCACAAAGUGAGACAGGUGGUGCAUGGUUGUCGUCAGCUCGUGUCGUGAGAUGUUGGGUUAAGUCCCGCAACGAGCGCAACCCUUAUCUUCAGUUACUAACGCGUGAGGGUGAGGACUCUGAAGAGACUGCCGGGGACAACUCGGAGGAAGGUGGGGACGACGUCAAAUCAUCAUGCCCCUUAUGACCUGGGCUACACACGUGCUACAAUGGCCACGACAGAGAGAAGCGAAAUCGCAAGGUAGAGCGGAACUCAAAAAAGUGGUCCCAGUUCGGAUUGUGGGCUGCAACCCGCCCACAUG